UUCAGUUAAUUCAUAAGAUGUAUUCAAUUGGUCCACUACAGUUCAAUACUACAUUAUUGAUUCAUGACGCACCAGCAAAUUUAACAUGAGCAGCAAAUGAACAAAUACAGCGAGCAUUUGCAACGAGCGCUAUUGCUAUAAACACGUUAUUGCUAUAAACUAAUUAAAAUUUAUGGAACUUUUGGAAUAAUUCUACCUAGGACACCCCCACCAAAUUCAAGUGGAUUCAUUUCAGCAUUUGGGGUGUUCGCCCAGUUACUACUUGAUUCUAGUUACGUCAUAGAAGGCUCAUAUGCCGUCACAUUCCAUUCGUUCAGAAGACGCUUAAAACCAGCCUAUCCGUUCAUUCAUGAAAACGCAUGGAGGCCACCAGUCCUCAGAAAGCAGUUCAAAUAAACGGGGAAACAGGGCGCUCCGCGCGCUUAUUCUUUGGUGAAAGUGAGAAGACUAGAGAAGAAUGAAGUAUAAUAAGGAGUGAUGGACAUUCAGUCUAUGUACUCAGGGUACCGUUGCUGGGUUGCGGGAAAACAGGACCGCUUCAGGACGGCGAACAGCGUGCGGCCGAGCUUCACAGGAUCCCGCGGCUCAACCGCCACCGCC